GACGAACGCUGGCGGCGUGCUUAACACAUGCAAGUCGAGCGGUAAGGCCUUUCGGGGUACACGAGCGGCGAACGGGUGAGUAACACGUGGGUGAUCUGCCCUGCACUUCGGGAUAAGCCUGGGAAACUGGGUCUAAUACCGGAUAUGACCUCCUAUCGCAUGGUGGGUGGUGGAAAGAUUUAUCGGUGCAGGAUGGGCCCGCGGCCUAUCAGCUUGUUGGUGGGGUAAUGGCCUACCAAGGCGACGACGGGUAGCCGACCUGAGAGGGUGACCGGCCGCACUGGGACUGAGACAGGGCCCAGACUCCUACGGGAGGCAGCAGUGGGGAAUAUUGCACAAUGGGCGAAAGCCUGAUGCAGCGACGCCGCGUGAGGGAUGACGGCCUUCGGGUUGUAACCCUCUUUCAGCGGGGACGAAGCGCAAGUGACGGUACCUGCAGAAGAAGCACCGGCUAACUACGUG
rnacentral:rRNA from 1 species